UGGACCAUCGCCUAACAGGCAGGGCAGUAGAUUUUGGUUCUACCGGUAUGAGUUCGAGUCUCAUUGGUCCAG
rnacentral:tRNA from 1 species